rnacentral:rRNA from 1 species
UACGUAGGGUGCAAGCGUUGUCCGGAAUUAUUGGGCGUAAAGAGCUCGUAGGCGGUUUGUCGCGUCUGCUGUGAAAACGCGAGGCUCAACCUCGCGCCUGCAGUGGGUACGGGCAGACUAGAGUGCGGUAGGGGAGAUUGGAAUUCCUGGUGUAGCGGUGGAAUGCGCAGAUAUCAGGAGGAACACCGAUGGCGAAGGCAGCUCGCUGGGACGUUACUGACACUGAGGCGCGAAAGCGUGGGGAGCGAACAGG